rnacentral:rRNA from 1 species
GACGAACGCUGGCGGCGUGCUUAACACAUGCAAGUCGAACGGAAAGGCCCAGCUUGCUGGGUACUCGAGUGGCGAACGGGUGAGUAACACGUGGGUGAUCUGCCCUGCACUCUGGGAUAAGCCUGGGAAACUGGGUCUAAUACCGGAUAUGACCAACUGUCGCAUGGUGGUUGGUGGAAAGCUUUUGCGGUGUGGGAUGGGCCCGCGGCCUAUCAGCUUGUUGGUGGGGUAAGUGGCCUACCAAGGCGACGACGGGUAGCGACCUGAGAGGGUGAUCGGCCACACUGGGACUGAGACACGGCCCA